CUCAUUAUGUAACUGUAAAAACAAAGAUCCUGCCUCGGGACAAAGAGUCUGAGAGACUUUGGAUGUGGUGUCAAGUUGCUACAAAACUGCCUUGAAGUUAGCAUUACCAACCCAAUUAUCUUCUGAGGAUACUGAAGAGGAAGGAUCCUACCAGAAAAGACCACCAACACUCCUCCUCCAUCUUUAUUCUCAGUUCCUGACCUGGCAUUCUACUUCAUUGAGAAAGUGAAAGCAAUUGGAAGAGAACUUCUACAGGAUCACACCACUAUACCUGCCCACCUAUCUGCAUCUGGG